rnacentral:rRNA from 1 species
GAUCAAAUCAAGCGCGAAAAGGGCGUUUGGUGAAUGCCUUGGCAGUAAGAGGCGAUGAAAGACGUGAUACUCUGCGAUAAGCCAUGGGGAGCUGAGAAUAAGCUUUGAUCCAUGGAUUUCUGAAUGGGGCAACCCACCUGAUUGUUUGUUAUUAUUGCUUCGCAAUAUGUACGCUCCGCGCCGACCUUUGGUCGGUACACCGAUCCUUCUGGAUCGGCACUGGGGCUUGCAGCGGCGCAGUUAAUAAUGAGCAAAACCAGGUAUUUUUAGGCUGAAUAUAUAGGCUUAAAAAGGCAAACCCGGGGAACUGAAACAUCUAAGUACCCGGAG